GCGUCGACAUGAAUAUCCGGGUGUGGGAGAGGGUGGGUCUUUGUAGGUCGUUUCGUUGGCUCUCUCUUUCUCUCUCGCCUUCUGCGCCUCGAUGGCGCACUCUUCUCGCUCGCUCGCUCGCUCGGUCGUCGAGUCGCUCGAGUUGCUGGCGGCGCCGCUGCUACACCUCGUGGCUGAGGCUGGAGCUGCUCAGGCGCAGCUGCUGCUGCCGCCGGUGGAGGAGGGACAGGAGGAGUACGAGGGACGUCGGCGUCUGCGGGGGCGGGGGAGCGGCGUCUGCGUCGGCAUUGGCGGCGGCGCGGGUCGCGGCCCAGUUCUUGCCGGGCCUCCACCUCCUCAGCCUCCGCCUCCGGCUCCGCCUCCUCCACACCACGCCGCGCGUCACCCUCCGCCGCACCGGUGCCUCCCGCGCCGGCCACCACGAGCGGCCCCUUCUGCGCCGGGGACUGGCGCGGCCUCGCCCGCGGCCCCUAAGGCCGCACCCCGCACGGUCCUCGGACUGCCUGCUGCUGGACCUCCUCGAGUUCCCCACGCACCUAGACCCCAAGCCCAAGUCGAUGUUGCUCUAGGGGCUCGACACGCCGUGGGACGGGCGCGAGCUCGAGACGAUGAGGUACUCGGUCGCCAAGAACCUGCUCGUGGUCGGCGGCAGGUUCCGGCUCCUCAACCGAGGCCUCGGCGGCCGCCAGCACGGAGGAAGCGGCCGGGUUGGGUAGGGGUUGACCUUCUAAAGGACGGGACCCCUGUCGGGUCUACUCCACUUCCGCUCCGAGUUCAUGACCCGCGUCCGCCACCGCACGUGGCAGUUCGACACGUCGACUAGUUGACGUGCCAGUUAGUUAGGACGCCUGCGUCCUUCUGCUUCGGUUGAGUAUGAGCGUUCCGCCGUUGGGUUAAGUAGUCCGCUGGAUACACGUGCUCUCGUGCGGUAGACGGGCUUAGCGCACCUUUAAUGUAACGUAACGUAGUUAAGUAGCGGUAGUAGUGCUGUUCGUGUCCUUCCCACGUGCGUAGUAUAACACCUGAACCCUAACGCGGAGACUACUGUCCUUCGCUUCUUCGCUCGCUCCUCUACAGUGGCCGGUAAAGAUUACGCCGUGAGUGUGUAAUACUAAAUCAUACUUAGUGACUUAAAGGAAAGUUUUCUUUCAUACUUAGGAACUAGUCGUCGACAUCGAUUAAAUAAGUACAUUUGUCUGUUGCAUAUUACACAAGAGUUGGUUAAGUAAAACCUUUAUUAUUAACUAGAGCACGACUCGACACGG
rnacentral:rRNA from 1 species